GAGGCUAUACUUUCAGGGAUCAUUUCUGUAGUUUGUUACUAACUUCCUUCGUUAUGGUGGCUGCUUAUCAGUGAUGUCCCUUGGCUUCCAGCUGC
rnacentral:snoRNA from 1 species